rnacentral:rRNA from 1 species
CGUGGACGUUUGAGAUUUGAGAGGGGCUGCUCCUAGUACGAGAGGACCGGAGUGGACGAACCUCUGGUGUUCCGGUUGUCACGCCAGUGGCAUUGCCGGGUAGCUAUGUUCGGAAAAGAUAACCGCUGAAAGCAUCUAAGCGGGAAACUUGCCUCAAGAUGAGAUCUCACUGGGAACUUGAUUCCCCUGAAGGGCCGUCGAAGACUACGACGUUGAUAGGCUGGGUGUGUAAGCGUUGUGAGGCGUUGAGCUAACCAGUACUAAUUGCCCGUGAGGCUUGACCAUAUAACACCCAAACA